rnacentral:lncRNA from 1 species
UUAUAGGUUUCUCUUCCAGAGAAAAACAAAAACACAAUAAUUUAGUCUUUGUAUUUUUCAGUGCAGAGGUUGACUCAAAGUGCUUCAAAUUGCACUGCGAUACAUUCUUCACACUCUGGACCUCUUGUGGAAAAGAACUCGCAGUAAAAAUAGUGAUAACCGACUUGCAAGCACAUCCCGCAGACCAAAAAAAAAAAAAAAACACAAAAAACGUACAAAUUAAAUAAAAUACAACAAUAAUUAAACAAAAGUCAUAUUCUCUGCAAUCAAAACUUAGAUGUUUAAAGAUAAACAUUAAAAGUUUGAAGUUCAACACAAUAUGCAAUUAAAAUGUCACUUCAGGUCAAAGGCCAAGCUUCUCACAUUCAAGAAAAAAACUAAAGCACACACACAUUAAAGCAGGUCUUUUCUGAGCUGUCAGAUGCUCCCCAGAAAUAAAGACUUAGUUUAAAUUGAUGACAAACAAAGCAGAGCACCCCUUAAAACAAUAGUUUUUGUUCAGGAGCAAAAUAAUCAUAAUAAUAAUUUUUAUUCUUGCAAAUUCAGUCAAACUGUUUUGCUUGGCCACAGCUGGAAGCUAUCAAGCUCAAACAGCAGGUACAACUUCAGAGUCACAGAGAUAAACUUACAGCCUGGUCAGUGUGUUAGCCAGCAGAGAAGACCUGCAGCAGCUGCAUGCAUUGUCUCACGAUCUAUUACAGUAUAUGGGCGCCCCCUAGCGCACGAAUUUUACGCUUCCAACCAGAUUCAAUUUAGAGCAGCCGUCCGACACGGAAACAGCUUCAGUCUCGUCUCUCUCAUCGACCAAACUAAUGAGCAGCACUUAAAAAUGAUAUCCCGUGAACAAGAGGAGUCUGUAAAUAAAUUCUCCGAGAUGAUACGACUCACCGAGGAGCCACUUUUUAAAUCGAGAGAUCACCCCAUUGAUGGCGACUGGACCCAAUAUGCCAUGGCAUUUUUAUCUGCAACAUUGCAUAAUAGCAAUCAGCAGCCUUUAACACUCCAGUAAAGGCACAAAGAAGAUUGUGAGAAUUUUACAUCAAAUCCGGUCACGCCCAAGAUGGAACACAACAAGAGGACGCUCUUGAAAAAAAUAACUGCUCGACCAACAAAGUGGUUUCUCACAGAAAUCUCUGCAGAAGGUCACUUCUUUAUCAACAAUAAAAUGUUAUUUACAUCUCUGGUUUUUGUGAACGCACCUUGUUGUAUUAG